GAGCCGUGUCCCGGCAGAGGGGACGGAGCCUCGGAAUCAGGCCCCGCCCCCGCGCGCUGCGCACCGUGACCCGCCCGAUCGCGGUGACACCGGGGACAGGCGAGACGCGCGCGCCCGGCCCCCUCCGUGCCCCCCAGGGCCGUGGCUGCCGUUUCCUUCGGUGCCUUCGUGGUGGGGGCGGCGCUGGCGGGGGUGCUCUGGCUCGUGCAUGGCCGGACAGGUGACGAUCGCAGCUCCGCGCGCUCGGGCUGAGCGGUUCCUGCGGGCAGAGGGAGUCGCGGCAGGGGGAGGGGGCGGCCGGAGCUCGCCCAGCCUGGAGCCAUCACUGCCCUGCCCGGAGCCCGGGGAGGGAGGAGCUGCACCCUGGGGUAACCGCACUGGAGCGGGGAGCCAGAACCAGCAAAUUAAUUAAAGGGUGUUAAUUAAUCAGUUAACGCCUCUGUAA